GCCUGGGUGGCUCAGUCGGUUAAGCGCCCGACUUCAGCUCAGGUCAUGAUCUCACAGUUCAUGGGUUCGAGCCCCACAUCAGGCC
rnacentral:tRNA from 1 species